rnacentral:rRNA from 1 species
GUGGGGAAUCUUGCGCAAUGGGCGAAAGCCUGACGCAGCCAUGCCGCGUGAAUGAUGAAGGUCUUAGGAUUGUAAAAUUCUUUCACCGGGGACGAUAAUGACGGUACCCGGAGAAGAAGCUCCGGCUAACUUCGUGCCAGCAGCCGCGGUAAUACGAAGGGGGCUAGCGUUGCUCGGAAUUACUGGGCGUAAAGGGCGCGUAGGCGGACAGCUUAGUCAGAGGUGAAAGUCCAGGGCUCAACCUUGGAAUUGCCUUUGAUACUGGCUGUCUUGAGUUUGGGAGAGGUGAGUGGAACUCCGAGUGUAGAGGUGAAAUUCGUAGAUAUUCGGAAGAACACCAGUGGCGAAGGCGACUCACUGGCCCAAUACUGACGCUGAGGCGCGAAAGCGUGGGGAGCAAACAGGAUUAGAAACCCUUGUAGUCC